UUUAUUAUAAUAAAGCGUUUUAUUUUCAUUAAUUUAAUAAAAUACAUUAGAUCGUCUAUAAUGUGUGAAAUAAAAUUUUUAAAAAGCACUAAAAAAAAAAAAUCAUUUUUUUAGAUCUGAUAUAUAAACAUUUGCUACUUCCGAGCUUUACAGAAGCUUGCAAAACAUUGGAAUGUUUAUUUGUUACUGUUUCAUAACUUCAUUCAUUUGAAUGAAAUGUGUACUGUACACAUUUGUAACUAUAUGUUAUAGGGGAAAAAAAGUUUUUAGUAAGGUAAUGAAAAAAGUAUGUACAAAUCUAGUGGUAACAUUAAACUGAUGAUAUGUGGCAGGUCUGUGCACACCCCCCCCCCCCCA